rnacentral:rRNA from 1 species
AUUGAACGCUUGCGGCAGGCUUAACACAUGCAAGUCGAACGAGUGGCGGCCGGGUGAGUAAUGCUUGGGAAUCUAGCUUAUGGAUGGGGAUAACUACGGGAAACUGUAGCUAAUACCGCAUACCAGAGGAUGAGCCCAAGUGGGAUUAGCUAGUUGGUGAGGUAAUGGCUCACCAAGUCCACGAUCCUUAGCUGGUCUGAGAGGAUGAUCAGCCACACUGGUACUGAGACACGGCCCAGACUCCUCAGGGAGGCAGCAGUGGGGAAUAUUGCACAAUGGGCGCAAGCCUGAUGCAGCCAUGCCGCGUGUAUGAAGAAGGCCCUAGGGUUGUAAAGUACUUUCAGUCGGGAGGCGUUACCGACAGAAGAAGCACCGGCUAACUCCGUGCCAGCAGCCGCGGUAAUUC